rnacentral:rRNA from 1 species
UGAACGCUGGCGGCAUGCCUUACACAUGCAAGUCGAACGGCAGCACGGGAGCAAUCCUGGUGGCGAGUGGCGGAACGGGUGAGUAAUAUAUCGGAACGUGCCCAGUCGUGGGGGAUAACGCAGCGAAAGCUGUGCUAAUACCGCAUACGAUCUACGGAUGAAAGCGGGGGAUCGCAAGACCUCGCGCGAUUGGAGCGGCCGAUAUCAGAUUAGCUAGUUGGUGGGGUAAAAGCCCACCAAGGCGACGAUCUGUAGCUGGUCUGAGAGGACGACCAGCCACACUGGAACUGAGACACGGUCCAGACUCCUACGGGAGGCAGCAGUGGGAAUUUUGGACAAUGGGCGCAAGCCUGAUCCAGCAAUGCCGCGUGCAGGA